rnacentral:rRNA from 1 species
ACGUCAAAUCAUCAUGCCCUUAUGGACCUGGGCUACAAACGUGAUACAAUGGCUGAACAAAGGGCAGCGAAGGAGCGAUCUGGAGCGAACCCAAAAAGCAGUCUCAGUUCGGAUUGAAGUCUGCAACUCGACUUCAUGAAGUCGGAAUCGCUAGUAAUCGCGGAUCAGAACGCCGCGGUCGAAUACGUUCUCCGGGUUU